CAAGUCGAGCGAUGAACCUCCUUCGGGAGGGGUUUAGUGGCGAACGGGUGAGUAACACGUGGGCGAUCUGCCCUGCACUCUGGGACAAGCCCUGGAAACGGGGUCUAAUACCGGAUACUGACCCGCUUGGACAUCCAAGCGGUUCAAAAGCUCCGGGGGUGCGGGAUGACCCCGCGGCCUAUCCGCUUGUUGGUGAGGAAAUGGCUCACCAAGGCGACAACGGGGAGCCGGUCUGAGAGGGAGACCGGCCACACUGGGACUGAAACACGGCCCAGACUCCUACGGGAGGCAGCAGUGGGGAAUAUUGCACAAUGGGCGAAAGCCUGAUGCAGCGACCCCGCGUGAGGGAUGACGGCCUUCGGGUUGUAAACCUCUUUCAGCAGGGAAGAAGCGAAAGUGACGGUACCUGCAAAAAAAGCGCCGGCUAACUACGUGCCAGCAGCCGCGGUAAUACGUAGGGCGCGAGCGUUGUCCGGAAUUAUUGGGCGUAAAGAGCUCGUAGGCGGCUUGUCACGUCGGUUGUGAAAGCCCGGGGCUUAACCCCGGGUCUGCAGUCGAUACGGGCAGGCUAGAGUUCGGUAGGAGAGAUCGGAAUUCCUGGUGUAGCGGUGAAAUGCACAUAUAUCAGGAGGAACACCGGUGGCAAGCGCAGAUCUCUGGACCGAUACUGACGCUGAAGAGCAAUAGCGUGGGGAGCGAACAGGAUUAGAUACCCUGGUAGUCCACGCCAUAAACGGUGGACACUAUGUGUGGGCGACAUUCCACGUCGUACGUGCCGCAGCUAACGCAUUACGUGCCUCGCCUGGUGAGUACGGCCGCAAGGCUAAAACUCAUAGGAAUUGACGGCGCCACACACAAGCUGCAGAGCAUGUAGUCUUAUCUCGACGCAACGCGAAGAACUGUACCUAUGGUUUCGACAUACACCGG
rnacentral:rRNA from 1 species